UGCAGGGGUAAAAUGAUAAUUUUAAAACUUUUUCAAAAUCACUAUUUUACAGUGAAAAUUAUUAAUUAAUCUAAUUAAUUAAUAAAAAUUUAUCCUACACUAGGAUCUAAAUAUGAUAUAUAGCAUGCAUGCAUUUAAAUUUGAAAUUCGAAUUUGAACAGUAAACACUUUACUGUAAUGUGUUCAGAACACAAUACCUUUAUGCGGGUAGUAGAUCGCC
rnacentral:lncRNA from 1 species